GUUUGGUAAUUGGUUGAUGAUUUUAUAUUCCUGUUGUCAUUUUUGUAUUUCAUAUUUUGUACUUGUUUGAUCAAACUUAUUGGGAACAUGUUUGCUCUUUCAGAAAUUUAUCAACACACAUAUUCAUGCUUCCUGUUUCAUGCAUUUAUUUUUGCUUUCAGGUAACUUAGUGAUUAAUGCACGGUCUCUCACUCUCACUC
rnacentral:lncRNA from 1 species